rnacentral:rRNA from 1 species
UACGUAGGGGGCAAGCGUUAUCCGGAUUUACUGGGUGUAAAGGGAGCGCAGACGGAUGCAGAAGUCAGAUGUGGAAGCCCCGGGCAUAACCCGGGGAGUGCAUUUGAAACUCUGUAUCUAGAGUACUGGAGGGGUGAGCGGAAUUCCUGGUGUAGCGGUGAAAUGCGUAGAUAUCAGGAAGAACACCGGCGGCGAAGGCGGCUCACUGGACAGCAACUGACGUUGAGGCUCGAAAGCGUGGGGAGCAAAC